GAUGAAGAACGCAGUGAAAUGCGAUACGUAAUGUGAAUUGCAGAAUUCAGUGAAUCAUCGAGUCUUUGAACGCACAUUGCGCCCUCUGGUAUUCCGGAGGGCAUGCCUGUCCGAGCGUCAUUGCUGCCCUCAAGCACGGCUUGUGUGUUGGGCUCCGUCCUCCUUCCGGGGGACGAGCCCGAAAGGCAGCGGCGGCACCGCGUCCGGUCCUCAAGCGUAUGGGGCUUUGUCACCCGCUUUGUAGGACUGGCCGGCGCCUGCCGAUCAACCAAACUUUUUUCCAGGUUGACCUCGGAUCAGGUAGGGAUACCCGCUGAACUUAAGCAUAUCAAUAAGCGGAGGA
rnacentral:misc_RNA from 1 species